AUUCCCCAGCCGUCUAAAACAAGCGGUCCUAAGGCUUUUCGCUCUAGAAAUGGGACUUACUUUGCAGACCUCCCUUUAUCUGGGAGACAAAUCCAGCGUGAUUUAGCCUACCGGACCAUCAUAUCCAAUUUCUUCUUCAGCCCCUUCUGAAAGGGAGAUGCUACACACCACUCACCUUUCUGACUUCUGAUUCUCGUUGCCCUCAGAAUUGACACCCCCUUUUCUCUCCCCCCACCCACCACACGCACAUGCACACAGACAUACACACGCGAACUUCAAGACAAUUUUUGCAUCGCUUAACACAUUUUCACCUCUUUCAGAGCUGGAAGACAGCUGUUCCUGGAUCACACCAGAAUGGAGAAGCAAGCUCCUCCCACUAGCAGAAAGCCUUUGCUUUCUGUGCCUGGAUUCGGAAGAUUAGUUAAGCACUGGAAGAGGAGGGGGGAAACAACAACUCGUUUUUGCUUAGAUUUCCACCUGUUCCCAUCCUCCACAGUCUCCCAUCCCACCAGCAACACACGUGAGAUAUCUGAUGCCUUCCCAUCAAUAACUCUCACUUAGUAUGGGUAAGCAAAAAAUUUCCAACCAGGGAUGGAAGUUGUGGAGAGAUAGAGUGGGAAAGCUCAAGGAGCAUUGAUAGGGAUCAUUAAUUAAAAAUCUACCAAACAUCUCUUUCUCUCCCUAAUGUGCGAGUUACAAUAACAUCACUCAAAGCAGUUUGCAGCCACAGCUUGAAGAAAUACAGUAACAAUGACAGAAUUAACAUUCACUAUCUUUAUUAACAUUUUUACUUUCUUAAACCUUGUUUCUUUCAAAAGACACUGGCAUAGUCCUGUAUGAAUUAUGUGGAUUUGCCAAGAGAAAAAAAUAAAAUGAUACAACAAAUGGUGUUCCAAGUUUGACAGACCCUUUGUGCCAGUGGCUCUGAAAGGCUUCAGAAUGAAUAUCCAAUUCAGAAAUCAGUCCCUAAUAUUUCAGAUUAGUGAAGAAUCAACAGACUGAACAGCAUUUGUAUUCAGAAAGGAAGAAAAUAAAUGAAUUUUUAAAAUAUCA
rnacentral:antisense_RNA from 1 species